AAUCCAUAGGUUAAUGAGGCGAACCGGGGGAACUGAAACAUCUAAGUACCCCGAGGAAAAGAAAUCAACCGAGAUUCCCCCAGUAGCGGCGAGCGAACGGGGAGGAGCCCAGAGCCUGAAUCAGCAUGUGUGUUAGUGGAAGCGUCUGGAAAGGCGCGCGAUACAGGGUGACAGCCCCGUACACAAAAGCGCAUGUGCUGUGAGCUCGAUGAGUAGGGCGGGACACGUGGUAUCCUGUCUGAAUAUGGGGGGACCAUCCUCCAAGGCUAAAUACUCCUGACUGACCGAUAGUGAACCAGUACCGUGAGGGAAAGGCGAAAAGAACCCCGGCGAGGGGAGUGAAAAAGAACCUGAAACCGUGUACGUACAAGCAGUGGGAGCACCCUUUGGGUGUGACUGCGUACCUUUUGUAUAAUGGGUCAGCGACUUAUAUUCUGUAGCAAGGUUAACCGAAUAGGGGAGCCGGAGGGAAACCGAGUCUUAAUUGGGCGUUAAGUUGCAGGGUAUAGACCCGAAACCCGGUGAUCUAGCCAUGGGCAGGUUGAAGGUUGGGUAACACUAACUGGAGGACCGAACCGACUAAUGUUGAAAAAUUAGCGGAUGACCUGUGGCUGGGGGUGAAAGGCCAAUCAAACCGGGAGAUAGCUGGUUCUCCCCGAAAGCUAUUUAGGUAGCGCCUCGUGAAUUCAUCUCCGGGGGUAGAGCACUGUUUCGGCUAGGGGGCCAUCCCGGCUUACCAACCCGAUGCAAACUGCGAAUACCGGAGAAUGUUAUCACGGGAGACACACGGCGGGUGCUAACGUCCGUCGUGAAGAGGGAAACAACCCAGACCGCCAGCUAAGGUCCCAAAGUCAUGGUUAAGUGGGAAACGAUGUGGGAAGGCCCAGACAGCCAGGAUGUUGGCUUAGAAGCAGCCAUCAUUUAAAGAAAGCGUAAUAGCUCACUGGUCGAGUCGGCCUGCGCGGAAGAUGUAACGGGGCUAAACCAUGCACCGAAGCUGCG
rnacentral:rRNA from 1 species